rfam:Aedes albopictus isolate Foshan contig129020, whole genome shotgun sequence.
UGUUCUGUGGCUUAGUUGGCUAAGGCGCCGGUCUAAUGAAUACGAAGUCGUGGGUUCGAAUCCCACCAGAACGU